rnacentral:rRNA from 1 species
UACGUAGGGGGCGAGCGUUGUCCGGAUUUAUUGGGCGUAAAGAGCUCGUAGGCGGCUUGGCAAGUCGGGUGUGAAACCUCCAGGCUCAACCUGGAGACGCCACUCGAUACUGCCAUGGCUAGAGUCCGGUAGGGGACCACGGAAUUCCAUGUGGAGCGGUAAAAUGCAAAGAUAUAUGGGAGAACACCAAUACAGCGAAGGCAGUUAACUAUUCUGUUACUGACAUUGAGGCACGAAAGCGUGGGGAGCGAAACGG